rnacentral:rRNA from 1 species
AUUGAACGCUGGCGGCAGGCCUAACACAUGCAAGUCGAGCGAGCGGCGGACGGGUGAGUAAUGUAUGGGGACUGCCUGAUAGAGGGGGAUAACUACUGGAAACGGUGGCUAAUACCGCAUACUAUCGGAUAACCCAUAUGGGAUUAGCUAGUAGGUGGGGUAAAGGCUCACCUAGGCGACGAUCCCUAGCUGGUCUGAGAGGAUGAUCAGCCACACUGGAACGGAGACACGGCCCAGACUCCUACGGAGGCAGCAGUGGGGAAUAUUGCACAAUGGGAGCAAGCCUGAUGCAGCCAUGCCGCGUGUAUGAAGAAGGCCUUAGGGUUGGAAAGUACUUUCAGUCGGGAGGCGGUACCGAAAGAAGAAGCACCGGCUAACUCCGUGCCAGCAGCCGCGGUAAUAC